rnacentral:rRNA from 1 species
UACGGAGGGAGCUAGCGUUGUUCGGAUAUACUGGGCGUAAAGCGCACGUAGGCGGCGCAGCAAGUCAGGGGUGAAAUCCCGGAGCUCAACUCCGGAACUGCCUUGAAACUGCAGUGCUAGAAUCCUGGAGAGGCGAGUGGAAUUCCGAGUGUAGAGGUGAAAUUCGUAGAUAUUCGGAAGAACACCAGUGGCGAAGGCGACUCGCUGGACAGGUAUUGACGCUGAGGUGCGAAAGCGUGGGGAG